GAACUGCGAUAAGUAAUGUGAAUUGCAGAAUUCAGUGAAUCAUCGAGUCUUUGAACGCACAUUGCGCCCCCUGGCAUUCCGGGGGGGCAUGCCUGUCCGAGCGUCAUUGCUGCCCUUCAAGCCCGGCUUGUGUGUUGGGUCGUCGUCCCCCCCGGGGGACGGACCCGAAAGGCAGCGGCGGCACCGUGUCCGGUCCUCGAGCGUAUGGGGCUUUGUCACCCGCUCGAUUAGGACCGGCCGGGCGCCCGCCGGCGUCAAACCCCAAUCUUUCUAAGGUUGACCUCGGAUCAGGUAGGGAUACCCGCUGAACUUAAGC
rnacentral:misc_RNA from 1 species